CAAACCAUAAGACAUUCGUGGCACCAUUCACAUCUGGCCAGCAAGCACAAACCAAGAAAGAGACCGACCCAUGGCGCACCCCAAGUCCCAUCUCGCCUGCUUGUUCCUCGCCCUCGCCCUCGCCGUCCUGACCGCCGCCGCGUCGGAGCCUUUGCUUUCGGCGGCCGUGACAGCCAGGGCGCCCGCUCCCUCCCCCAACGGCGACUUGGUAGCGAAACCAUCGGCAUGGGGAUGGACAUGGUGCAUCAUCCCCUGCUUUCCGUUUAUACCAGAGAUAUUUUGCAUACCACCAAUAUUCUGUCCACGGACGCCGCAACCACCGCCGCCAUCACCGCCUCCCCCGCCCCCAUUGAAGCCUCAGCCGAAGGAGUGCCGGACGCCGCUGAUGGGGCUGAUGCCGUGCAAGGAUUUCCUCACCAGCAGCACCGCGCCGGAGCCUCCGAACCAGGGCAAGUGCUGCGACGGCCUCAGGUCGCUCGUCCAAGACGCUCCCAUCUGCCUUUGCCGCAUACUGGAGGGCACCGAUCUCGACAAGCUCAUGUCGGCGACCGUGGAUAGAGAGAAAUUCAUUCGUACGAUGAUCAUCUGCGACUCGAGUCCGGGUGAAUUUGGUUCUUGUGAAGGACCCGUGCCACCGAUGACGAUGAGGGCCGCACCUACACCUAAAGCUGCUCCAUAAUCGGGCAGAUCAGGUAGCCAGUUUUAUUUCCGGAUAAAUUGAUCCAAUUUUCUGUGCCCAUUUAUGCAUGCAUCGCUGCAUCAACUAGAGCCAUCGUCGUCAUUCGUAGCAGCAUUACAGAAACAAGAUGCAUGCAUGGAAGCUGAAGAUGCCAUACGUCAAGAUCCGUUAGGAUCAUUCUUAGAAGAGAUAGUGCUAGUUCUUAGUUCGAUUUAGGGAGAAUGUGUAGCUUCAUUUGUGAGAAAACAAAUUAUUUGUCACCGUCCAACUGUUUGUUUCUUUAUAAAUGUGUGCAACCGUUGUUUA